rnacentral:rRNA from 1 species
UACGAGAGGCCCAAACGUUAUUCGGAUUUACUGGGCUUAAAGAGUUCGUAGGCGGCGCGGAAAGUAGGGUGUGAAAGCCCUCGGCUCAACCGAGGAAUUGCGCUCUAAACUACCGUGCUUGAGGAACCUAGAGGUGAGCAGAACUGAUGGUGGAGCGGUGAAAUGCAUUGAUAUCAUCAGGAAUACCGGAGGCGAAGGCGGCUCACUGGGGGUUAUCUGACGCUGAGGAACGAAAGCCAGGGGAGCAAACGGG